GACUUCUCAUCGCAUGGUGGGGGGUGGAAAGCUUUUGUGGUUUUGGAUGGACUCGCGGCCUAUCAGCUUGUUGGUGGGGUAAUGGCCUACCAAGGCGACGACGGGUAGCCGGCCUGAGAGGGUGACCGGCCACACUGGGACUGAGACACGGCCCAGACUCCUACGGGAGGCAGCAGUGGGGAAUAUUGCACAAUGGGCGCAAGCCUGAUGCAGCGACGCCGCGUGAGGGAUGACGGCCUUCGGGUUGUAAACCUCUUUCAGUAGGGAAGAAGCCCUCUUUUGGGGGUGACGGUACUUGCAGAAGAAGCGCCGGCUAACUACGUGCCAGCAGCCGCGGUAAUACGUAGGGCGCAAGCGUUAUCCGGAAUUAUUGGGCGUAAAGAGCUCGUAGGCGGUUUGUCGCGUCUGCUG
rnacentral:rRNA from 1 species